rnacentral:rRNA from 1 species
GACGAACGCUGGCGGCGUGCUUAACACAUGCAAGUCGAACGGAAAGGCCCUGCUUUUGUUGGUUGCACGAUUGGCGAACGGGUGAGUAACACGUGAGUAACCCCUCCUUGACUUUGGGAUAACUUCACGAAACUGGGGCUCAUACCGGAUAGGAGAUCCUGCAGCAUGGUGGGGGUUGGAAAGUUUCGGCGGUUGGGGCUGGACUCGCGGCUUAUCAGCUUGUUGGUGUGGUAGUGGCUUACCAAGGCUAUGACGGGUAGCCGGCCUGAGAGGGUUACCAGGGACAAUGGGACUAAGGUAGGCACCAGUCUCCAACGGGAGGCAGCAGGCGAGAGUAUGACGCAGUGGGCGGGAGCGUGAGGCGACGGCGCCGCGUGCGGGAUGACGGCCUACGGGGUGUAAACCGCUUUGGCCUGAGACGAAGCGUGAUUGACGGUAAUGAGUAAAGAAGCAACGGCUAACUACGUG